CUAAGCAAAAACAAAAAACUGGCACCUAGACAUUAUGUUGUAGCGAGCGUAAUCUAGGUUUAAGGUACCACUUGGCUUAUAUAUCUGAGUUUCUAACACUGUAUCCUUUGUAGAUAAAUAGAAACAGUGGUAGCAUAAUAUAUUUUUUAAAAAACCAGGAUUCCUUUCCUGUUGCGCUUUCCGAGGGAGCUUCUACAGAAUCACCUCCUCCCCUAUUUUAUCAACCCGCUGCUGUUCAAAAAGUUGCCCGGGAGACUUUCAAUUAGGCUGCUAAGCUGCCGUGGUCUUGAGCCCCCAUCAUCAUCUGCUACUGAUCUGGUAGACAAGGGACCCCUGGCUUUCAGCCCAUCAAGGCUGCCCACAGGCAACAGCAGACCUUGCUGCGAUUCUGCUUUUUACACAGCCCUUUGCCCUUGGCAGCCACCCAGGAAUCUUAUGCAGAAAUA